CAAAAGCGUAUAUUAAAGUUGUUGCAGUUAAAAAGCUCGUAGUUGAACCUUGGGCUUGGCUGGCCGGUCCAUCUUUUUUGAUGCGUACUGGACCCAGCCGAGCCUUUCCUUCUGGCUAGCCUUUUGGCGAACCAGGACUUUUACUUUGAAAAAAUUAGAGUGUUCAAAGCAGGCCUUUGCUCGAAUAUAUUAGCAUGGAAUAAUAGAAUAGGACGUCAUGGUUCUAUUUUGUUGGUUUCUAGGACCAUCGUAAUGAUUAAUAGGGACGGUCGGGGGUAUCAGUAUUCAGUUGUCAGAGGUGAAAUUCUUGGAUUUACUGAAGACUAACUACUGCGAAAGCAUUUACCAAGGACGUUUUCAUUAA
rnacentral:rRNA from 1 species